rnacentral:rRNA from 1 species
UACGAAGGGGGCUAGCGUUGCUCGGAAUUACUGGGCGUAAAGGGCGCGUAGGCGGCCAUUUAAGUCAGGGGUGAAAUCCCAGAGCUCAACUCUGGAACUGCCUUUGAUACUGGGUGUCUUGAGUGUGAGAGAGGUAUGUGGAACUCCGAGUGUAGAGGUGAAAUUCGUAGAUAUUCGGAAGAACACCAGUGGCGAAGGCGACAUACUGGCUCAUUACUGACGCUGAGGCGCGAAAGCGUGGGGAGCAAACAGG